GCCAGUGUGACGUAUAAUCUAGUGGACGGGACGCUCCUUCAACAACAACAGCUAGUCAGACACCUCCGUAGCUUUCUAUCAAACAUAGCUACAACAUUCACCCGCUUUACACUGUUUUGGUGUAUAUUAGUCGCUGUGUAUUAAACACACUUCUGUCGUAUGUACUUGUUAGCCCAUUUAAUUAUAUAUUCACGUUGUUUGUCAGCUAGCUGGUUUGCUAAGUUAGCUUAGAACUAAGCUAGUCGCUAAUGCUAGCUAGCUAACAUCUCCGACCAUGAGUUCACUAAGCUACUCUCCUCCUACUAAAGAAGAGGUCUGCUGGAUGGAGAAAGAAGCUCUCGUUAAAGAGGAAGAGAAAGAUGUUACAAUACAAAAACAAGUAGAGACUGUUACCGUGAAAGAAGAAGAGAAAGACGUUACAGUGAAAGAAGAGGAAGACGCGUUCAGAGUGAAAGAGGAGGAGGAUGUUACAAUAAAAGAAGAGGAGGAAGAGAAAGAGGAGAGAGCAGUUUUUGGAGUGAAAGAGGAGGCGGGGGAGAUGACUGUCACAUUGAAAGAGGAGAAGGAGGAAGAAGAGGAGGUUGGAGAUCUGUUUAACACCAGUAGCUAGCUAACAGCCAUGGAGGAGGGUGAAAGGAUAGCAGCCCCAACUGUCAGUGAGAGAGGAGGCUAUUCUGGAUAGGGCAGGUACUUUUGUGUAGUUCCUGUCCCUAGAAGUGAGGACGGAGAUAAUAGUAACAUAAUAUUCAGUGUGGUGUAAUUUGACUAUAAUGAAGUGUGUUUCUUGUGAGGUUUUCUGUCCUCAGAUAAAGAGCGCUAUGAAAGCCAGUCUACAUAUGAAGAGGUCCCAAUGAAGAGCAGUGGUUCUCAGUCCUGGGGACUCAAAGAGGCACAUUGUUGUUUUUGCCUCAGCACUGCACAGCUGAUUCAAAUGAUCAACUCAUCAUCAAGCUUCAAGUGAUACCUUGUAACUGGAGAUUCCUUCAAAACGAUUGCCUACAGUUACCGUGUAGGGCACUGCAAGGUUGGGUGACCAGGGUCAUCUGGGACUGCCUCCUGGAGGAAUUCAGGUGUGUGAAGGCUACCUGUGUCCUGCGUAACUUCAUGAGGAUGGACACGAGGACCAGGAGGGGAUCUGCAGCUGGCCGCCGUGUCCCAGAGGAGAAGUCUACUGCUCUGCAGGAUGUUUCAAGGAUGGGGUCCAACAACGCAGCAAGAGAGGCAAUCCGUGUGCAGGAGAUCUUCACCUCCUACUUCUUCAAAGAGGGUGCUGUUCCCUGGCAACACCAUAGACUACACUAUGCACAACCAAAGUCUCUUCAAAGAGGUUGCUGUUCCCUAGCAACACCAUAGACUACACUAUGCACAACCAAAGGCUCUUUUAAGAGGGUGCUGUUCCCUGGCAACACCAUAGACUACACUAUGCUCAACCAAAGGCUCUUUUAAGAGGGUGCUGUUCCCUGGCAACACCAUAGACUACACUAUGCACAACCAAAGGCUCUUCAAAGAGGUUGCUGUUCCCUAGCAACACCAUAGACUACACUAUGCACAACCAAAGGCUCUUUUAAGAGCCAUCCACAUUGCAAUAGGAGUAUUCUUCCAUUUACUUAGCUAUGUCAACUGCAGUUAUUCAAUUCAUAGUUUCUCUCCCUUUGAUUUCUACUUCUCAGGUGAGGGUGCUGUUUAGGUAAGGGUGUGAUGUCUGUGCCAAAACAAAACAGGCUGUUUUAAAUCACCCAUAUUGAAAAAAUGUAGAACAAUUAGACACCCUAUAACCCACACCUACACACUCAUGUAACAAUCUGAUUGAUGGAUUGUGUUGUGCAGUAAGCAGGCUCAGGUGUAUAACUGUGGCUCCUUCCACCUUCAACGAAUAGGCAAGAGGGCCAACCAUGGAGAAUAUCCUCUAGGUUAUAUCAGCUGUGUCGGUGAACCCCUCCUGCAUCUGAACUGGCUACAUAGAGGGCACAGCAUGAUCAGAGAUAUGUUUUGAUGUGAGAGGAUGCCAACCCCCAGUCCCAUCAUCGCCACCUCACCUGCUUUUAAGAUAACCUGUGGGCCGACUAGAGACACUGCUAUGUAAUUGUGAUGAACUGAGAGAAUAUUUAUGUAGCACUGUGAUUCAUUAAUCAUGUGCUGCCUUCCCUGCUCCUAUGUGCUUACCUCUUUCCCUUUCUGUCUUUUACACCUCUUUCUCACCUCCUCUUUCUUCCUCUGUUUUUAUAAUGCACAACAGAUGUGCAUUGAAGUACAGAUUGAACUUGUAUUUAUAACACUUGGAUAAUGAGCUUUUCAAUAAAGCGUUUCACAUUC